rnacentral:rRNA from 1 species
UUAAAUUGAAGAGUUUGAUCAUGGCUCAGAUUGAACGCUGGCGGCAGGCCUAACACAUGCAAGUCGAACGGUAACAGGAAGCAGCUUGCUGCUUCGCUGACGAGUGGCGGACGGGUGAGUAAUGUCUGGGAAACUGCCUGAUGGAGGGGGAUAACUACUGGAAACGGUGGCUAAUACCGCAUAACGUCGCAAGACCAAAGAGGGGGACCUUCGGGCCUCUUGCCAUCAGAUGUGCCCAGAUGGGAUUAGCUUGUUGGUGAGGUAACGGCUCACCAAGGCGACGAUCCCUAGCUGGUCUGAGAGGAUGACCAGCCACACUGGAACUGAGACACGGUCCAGACUCCUACGGGAGGCAGCAGUGGGGAAUAUUGCACAAUGGGCGCAAGCCUGAUGCAGCCAUGCCGCGUGUAUGAAGAAGGCCUUCGGGUUGUAAAGUACUUUCAGCGGGGAGGAAGGUGUUGUGGUUAAUAACCGCAGCAAUUGACGUUACCCGCAGAAGAAGCACCGGCUAACUCCGUGCCAGCAGCCGCGGUAAUACGGAGGGUGCAAGCGUUAAUCGGAAUUACUGGGCGUAAAGCGCACGCAGGCGGUCUGUCAAGUCGGAUGUGAAAUCCCCGGGCUCAACCUGGGAACUGCAUUCGAAACUGGCAGGCUUGAGUCUUGUAGAGGGGGGUAGAAUUCCAGGUGUAGCGGUGAAAUGCGUAGAGAUCUGGAGGAAUACCGGUGGCGAAGGCGGCCCCCUGGACAAAGACUGACGCUCAGGUGCGAAAGCGUGGGGAGCAAACAGGAUUAGAUACCCUGGUAGUCCACGCCGUAAACGAUGUCUACUUGGAGGUUGUGCCCUUGAGGCGUGGCUUCCGGAGCUAACGCGUUAAGUAGACCGCCUGGGGAGUACGGCCGCAAGGUUAAAACUCAAAUGAAUUGACGGGGGCCCGCACAAGCGGUGGAGCAUGUGGUUUAAUUCGAUGCAACGCGAAGAACCUUACCUGGUCUUGACAUCCACAGAAGAAUCCAGAGAUGGAUUUGUGCCUUCGGGAACUGUGAGACAGGUGCUGCAUGGCUGUCGUCAGCUCGUGUUGUGAAAUGUUGGGUUAAGUCCCGCAACGAGCGCAACCCUUAUCCUUUGUUGCCAGCGGUUAGGCCGGGAACUCAAAGGAGACUGCCAGUGAUAAACUGGAGGAAGGUGGGGAUGACGUCAAGUCAUCAUGGCCCUUACGACCAGGGCUACACACGUGCUACAAUGGCGCAUACAAAGAGAAGCGACCUCGCGAGAGCAAGCGGACCUCAUAAAGUGCGUCGUAGUCCGGAUUGGAGUCUGCAACUCGACUCCAUGAAGUCGGAAUCGCUAGUAAUCGUGGAUCAGAAUGCCACGGUGAAUACGUUCCCGGGCCUUGUACACACCGCCCGUCACACCAUGGGAGUGGGUUGCAAAAGAAGUAGGUAGCUUAACCUUCGGGAGGGCGCUUACCACUUUGUGAUUCAUGACUGGGGUGAAGUCGUAACAAGGUAACCGUAGGGGAACCUGCGGUUGGAUCACCUCCUUA